UCAAGAGAUCACGACCACAACCGUCGAAGUUUUUUGCACGUUUUCCACGUGGUUACGAACGUUUAAUUCAGUGUUUAACACUAAGUGAUACGGCUGAUUGGCCGAAUUCUAAUCUUGACGAGGGAAUGCUGGAGAACUGUCUGACGGUCAGCUACUCCUGACAGCAAAGCAGUGAAACACCUCCAGCUGUGUGCACUGAAAGAAGUAAACCUCAAAGCAGGAAAUGUGAUGGUCAGAAGUGGGCAAGUUUAAAUGACUGAGUGUUAUCAUACAAGAAAGGUUCAAUUGUAGGGUCAUUGGAGGACAGAGCCUAUACAACAAGCAGUGGCCUCAAUGCAGGAUCCAGCCCUGGACAGGGUGUCAGUCCAUCAAUUAACACACACACUGGCACACGAGGAAAACCAAAGACAAACUCCUCUUAGACAUACCAUUCCAUCUGGCUCUCUUGACGUCACUUCCAGGACC